UGGGGAAUUUUGCACAAUGGGGGAAACCCUGAUGCAGCGACGCCGCGUGAUUUAGAAGGCCUUCGGGUUGUAAAAAUCUUUUUUAUGGGAUGAAAAUGACAGUACCAUAAGAAUAAGGUCCGGCUAAAUACGUGCCAGCAGCCGCGGUAAUACGUAUGGACCGAGCGUUGUCCGGAAUCAUUGGGCGUAAAGGGUACGUAGGCGGCCCAGUAAGUUAGAAGUGAAAUAAUAUAGCUCAACUAUAUAAAGCUUUUAAAACUGCUAGGCUUGAGAGAUGGAAGGGAAAGUGGAAUUCCUAGUGUAGCGGUGAAAUGCGCAGAUAUUAGGAAGAAUACCGGUGGCGAAGGCGACUUUCUGGCCAUAAUCUGACGCUGGGGUACGAAAGCGUGGGUAGCAAACAGG
rnacentral:rRNA from 1 species